CAAAAGAACUAUCGAAAAAUUUGAGAAGGAGGCUGCUGAGAUGGGAAAGGGCUCCAUCAAGAAUUGAUCGGAAGAG